GCGCGAAAACUUUACAAUGCUGGCAACAGCGAUCAGGGGACCUCGAGUGCCAGGUUACAAAUCUGGCUGUCGUAAUGCCUAAAAAGCAUUGCAUAGCAAGGGCCGGGCAAGACCGGUGCCAGCCGCCGCGGUAACACCGGCGGCUCGAGUGGUAACCGUUAUUAUUGGGUCUAAAGGGUCUGUAGCCGGCCGGAUAAGUCUCUUGGGAAAUCUGGCAGCUUAACUGUCGGGCUUUCAGGAGAUACUGUCUGGCUCGAGGCCGGGAGAGGUGAGAGGUACUUCAGGGGUAGGGGUGAAAUCUUGUAAUCCUUGAAGGACCACCAGUGGCGAAGGCGUCUCACCAGAACGGACCUGACGGCAAGGGACGAAAGCUAGGGGCACGAACC
rnacentral:rRNA from 1 species